rnacentral:rRNA from 1 species
UCUGGCGUAAGCCCGAGUUGUAAUUUGUAGAGGAUGCUUCUGGGUAGCGGCCGGUCUAAGUUCCUUGGAACAGGACGUCAUAGAGGGUGAGAAUCCCGUAUGUGACUGGCUUGCACCCUCCACGUAGCUCCUUCGACGAGUCGAGUUGUUUGGGAAUGCAGCUCUAAAUGGGAGGUAAAUUUCUUCUAAAGCUAAAUACCGGCCAGAGACCGAUAGCGCACAAGUAGAGUGAUCGAAAGAUGAAAAGCACUUUGGAAAGAGAGUUAAAAAGCACGUGAAAUUGUUGAAAGGGAAGCGCCCGCAACCAGACUUUGCGGCGGUGUUCGGCUGGUCUUCUGACCGGUUUACUCGCCGCCGUGAGGCCAUCAUCGUCUGGGACCGCUGGAUAAGACCUGAGGAAUGUAGCUCCCUUCGGGGUGUGUUAUAGCCUCUGGUGAUGCAGCGCGUCUCGGGCGAGGUCCGCGCUUCGGCAAGGAUGAUGGCGUAAUGGUUGUCGGCGGCCCGUCUUGAAACACGGACCAAGGAGUCUAACAUCUAUGCGAGUGUUCGGGUGUCAAACCCCUACGCGUAAUGAAAGUGAACGGAGGUGGGAACUUUUUGUGCACCAUCGACCGAUCCUGAUGUCCUCGGAUGGAUUUGAGUAAGAGCAUAGCUGUUGGGACCCGAAAGAUGGUGAACUAUGCCUGAAUAGGGUGAAGCCAGAGGAAACUCUGGUGGAGGCUCGCAGCGGUUCUGACGUGCAAAUCGAUCC